GCACAUUGCUGUCAAAGAACAACUCUGCAACAACACAGACAUUGAGCUAUUAGCCAUUAGCAUCCGUGGAGGCAGCCUGUGACUCUCUGUGGUCCGCAGACUGCAAACGCAAUCUCCAAGAGCUCUUCUUCUAAUAUCAGGGGACUUUCAUCAUGUCUCGCUGGACUCCACACUGCCCACCUUCAACCAGUAUGUGACCUGCCCCAUCGUAGUCAAUAAAACAUUGUACUUAAUGUAUGCCAAUGAAAAAGUGGCAUACAGUUCAUCACCUCCCUGCCCAGGGAAGAUCUGAUCGUAACCUAGUGUGCCUUGUCCCUGUGUGCAGCACUUAGUGUGCACGGAGCCACUAAUCACCCACGCAGUGCAGAGAUGCUUCAUGGAGGGCAUAAUCAAGCAAAUAAAUGACAGAAUGCUUUUUAUUUCAUGUCGACGUGCAAUUUAUGUAUAGUUGACCGGGAAAUUAAAGCAGCGAUCACUUGGACUAUUCCGUAGCACCCCUUUCACAGUGGUACAUCCCUCCAGGUAACCAUUCACCAGUCUUGUACAGUAGAGCGGGACAUUACGUUUACUCUCAGCGGAAUUCACCCGAGAAGGCAUCAGUUCCUGCACUGCACUGGUCUUCACCACGAUUAGUAUAAGGUGGAGUAAUGCACGAAUGGAUAAAAAGGAGUGAGAGGUUAUCAGCUGUUGAGGAGCAAAUGGAGAUCCGUGUCCAGGGGAGUGAGGCUAUUGCGAGUGUGAAAGGUUGUCCAGGAAGUAACUAAGAAGACAUGAACAGAGAGGUGGUGAUCCUCGGUGGAGUGAUGAAGUAGAGCAGCCAGCACCCCAAGUAGAGCAGGCACUGUGGAAAAAUAGUU